rnacentral:rRNA from 1 species
GACGAACGCUGGCGGCGCGCUUAACACAUGCAAGUCGAACGGAAAGGCCUGCUUUCCCUUGUGGAUUGCGGGUACUCGAGUGGCGAACGGGUGAGUAACACGUGAGUGAUCUGCCCCCAACUUGGGUAUAAGCCUGGGAAACUGGGUCUAAUUCCCGAUAGGACUGCAGGGUGGUGCCUGUGGUGGAAAACGAUUUUCUAGUGGUUGGGGAUGAGCUCGCGGCCUAUCAGCUUGUUGGUGGGGUAAUGGCCUACCAAGGCGGCGACGGGUAGCCGGCCUGGGAGGGUGGGCGGCCACAUUGGGACUGAGAUACGGCCCAGACUCCUACGGGAGGCAGCAGUGGGGAAUAUGGCACGAUGGGCGGAGGCCUGAUGCAGCGACGCCGCGUGGGGGAUGACGGCCUUCGGGUUGUAAACUCCUUUCGACCGCGAGGAAGCCACCUGGUUGGAAGGGUGGUGACGGUAGUGGUAGAAGAAGCACCGGCUAACUACGUG